CCGUCUUCGUCUUCGUCGUCUCCUUUCUUAUCAU
rnacentral:sRNA from 1 species